UGCUGUAGCCCUGCAACUCACAACUGGCAGCCCACUGAAGCUAAGCAGGUGUGAGCCUGGUCAGUACCUGGAUGGGAGACCUCCUGGGAAAACUUAAGGUUGCUGCUGGAA
rnacentral:rRNA from 1 species